CUCCCCCCACCCCCUUUUAGAGUACCUACCUCUGUUAGCUUUGGCGGGCCGCGGUCCCCCGCGGCCGCCCCCCCUCCCCGGGGGGUGGCUAGUGCCCGCCAGAGGACCAUCAAACUCCAGUCAGUGAACGUCGCAGUCUGAAAAAACAUUCAAUAAACUAAAACUUUCAACAACGGAUCUCUUGGUUCUGGCAUCGAUGAAGAACGCAGCGAAAUGCGAUAAGUAAUGUGAAUUGCAAAAUUCAGUGAAUCAUCGAAUCUUUGAACGCACAUUGCGCCCCUUGGUAUUCCGAGGGGCAUGCCUGUUCGAGCGUCAUUACAACCCUCAAGCUCUGCUUGGUAUUGGGCACCGCCCUUCUUCGGGCGCGCCUCAAAGACCUCGGCGGUGGCUGUCUUGCCUCAAGCGUAAUAAAAUACACCUCGCUUCGGAGCGCAGGGCGUCGCCCGCCGGACGAACCUUCUGAACUUUUCUCAAGGUUGACCUCGGAUCAGGUAGGGAUACCCGCUGAACUUAAGCAUAUCAAUAAGCCGGAAGGAAUAUU
rnacentral:rRNA from 1 species